rnacentral:misc_RNA from 1 species
AAGUCGUAACAAGGUUUCCGUAGGUGAACCUGCGGAAGGAUCAUUAACACGUAUCCACGUAUCCACCCAACGCGAAUUCAUUUCAUUCUCCCUCUAUAGCAGUGAAGGAAUCGAGUCGACAGCAAAGUACGAGUGGGAUCCGCAAGGGUCUAUUCGCUGUUCACCAACUGAGGUUUCGGCCUCGACGAUUGUAUUACUGUGGAGGCUAAUUUCUUUACUACUCGGUUUCCAACUCUGCCGUGGUAGUAAGGAUAACUCUAUUAAAACCUAUCUCACCCCUUUUUGCUAGUUGACUUUUAUAUGUUGUUACUUGCGCUCGUCGCAUGGAGCACACGUUUAAUUAUUUGAACGUUAAAAAUACAACUCUUAGCAAUGGAUAUCUUGGUUCUC